UCUGGCAACGCUGUCGGCACACAAGACCUUUGGACCACCCGCUCCCCCUCCGCCUAUAAAUCAGUUCAUUUCUAUCUUGCAAAAGAAAAUGGCGCGUGUCUUGGUUGGAGUUAAGCGUGUGAUCGACUACGCCGUCAAGGUGCGCGUCAAGCCUGACAAGUCGGGCGUGGUCACCCAAGGCGUGAAGCACUCGAUGAAUCCCUUCGACGAGAUCGCCGUGGAGGAGGCAGUGAAGCUGAAGGAGAAGAAGCUGGCCGAGGAGGUCAUCGCCGUCUCCGUCGGUCCUGCCCAGUCCCAGGAGGUGAUCCGCACCGCCCUGGCCAUGGGCGCCGAUCGUGGCGUCCACGUGGAGAUCCCAGCCGCCGAGUACGAGCUCCUGCAGCCCAUCCACGUGUCCAAGAUCCUGGCCAAGCUGGCGCUGGACGAGAAGGCCGACCUGGUGAUCCUGGGCAAGCAGGCCAUCGACGAUGAUGCCAACCAGACGGCCCAGAUGACGGCCGCUGUCCUGGACUGGCCCCAGGGCACCUUCUGCAACAAGAUCGAGAAGACCGAUGCCGGUCUGACCAUCACCCGUGAGAUUGACGGCGGUCUGGAGACGAUCAAGACCAAGACACCGGCUGUCCUGAGUGCCGAUCUCCGGCUGAACACUCCUCGCUACGCAACGCUGCCCAACAUCAUGAAGGCCAAGAAGAAGCCUCUGAAGAAGGUCACGGCCAAGGAUCUCGGCGUGGACACCUCUCCGCGCAUCGAGGUCGUCUCCGUGGAGGAUCCUCCAGUGCGCCAGGCCGGUGCCACCGUCGCCGAUGUGGAUGCCCUGGUGGCCAAGCUGAAGGAGGGCGGCCACGUCUAGAUCCUCCUUAACUAGCAAAUUGUGAGCGCAAAUUCUACGUUUUUAAUUAGUUGAAGUUACCUAUCAGAAACGUGCAUUUAUCCCAGCCUCCGAUCGUCGGAUCUGCUGACAGGCUUUAAAAUUCUACCCAUCCCCCGUGUGCUUUAAGUGAAAUCUAAAUUGGAAUUUAUUUUCGGUGUGUCCAGCUGUAAGAAUAAAGUGAUUGAAAUCGCAACCCCGCUCAACUUGAUGCCCAAAAAAAGGCGCCGAGGUCAACACCCAAUGUUCAUUGAUUUUUCAUUGUUUUCGAUCGUAUUUAUUAGCGGUAAACUUGAAAGGAAAACAUUUGCUAAUGUGUUUUAUAUAAGAGUAAAAAUCGUAUAGAGAUAGUAUAUGUUUGUUCAUAAAAUUCUCAACUACAGGCUAAAAUCCUA